rnacentral:rRNA from 1 species
AGGACGAACGCUGGCGGCGUGCUUAACACAUGCAAGUCGAACGGAACUCUUUGGAUCAAGGCUUCGGCCAAGUGAAUUUGAGUUUAGUGGCGGACGGGUGAGUAACGCGUGAGGAACCUGCCUUUCAGAGGGGGACAACAGUUGGAAACGACUGCUAAUACCGCAUAACGCGUAGAGAUCGCAUGGUCUUUACGCCAAAGAUUUAUCGCUGAGAGAUGGCCUCGCGUCUGAUUAGCUAGUUGGUGGGGUAACGGCCUACCAAGUCGACGAUCAGUAGCCGGACUGAGAGGUUGAACGGCCACAUUGGAACUGAGAUACGGUCCAGACUCCUACGGGAGGCAGCAGUGGGGAAUAUUGGGCAAUGGGCGAAAGCCUGACCCAGCGACGCCGCGUGAAGGAAGAAGGUCUUCGGAUUGUAAACCUUUGUUGACAGGGAAGAAGAAAGUGACGGUACCUGUAAAGAAAGCCACGGCUAACUACGUG